UACGGGGGGGGCAAGCGUUGUUCGGAAUUACUGGGCGUAAAGGGCCAGUAGGCGGCCAACUAAGUCGGAUGUGAAAUCCCCAGGCUUAACCUGGGAACUGCAUCCGAAACUGGCAGGCUAGAGUACUAAAGAGGGUCGCGGAAUUCCCGGUGUAGAGGUGAAAUUCGUAGAUAUCGGGAGGAACACCGGUGGCGAAGGCGGCGACCUGGGUAGAUACUGACGCUGAGGUGCGAAAGCGUGGGGAGCAAACAGG
rnacentral:rRNA from 1 species